UUGUCCAGCAAGCUGCCGAGGCAUGUUGUGAACGAAAGAGGAAUUGAGGUCGAUCCUGCUAAAAGAAAAAAGAAAAAAGAAAAAAAAAAGAGAACAGUGCAAGAAACGCCUGAACCAAAAAAAAAAGGGGAAGAGAAAAGAAAUCAAAUGGUCAGGUGGAAUGAUGACUGCCAAGGGGCAUGGAAAGAAAAAAUGAGUAGCAGGAACCUCUGAUUCUGAUACCUUUCUUGGAAGAAAC
rnacentral:lncRNA from 1 species